rnacentral:lncRNA from 1 species
AAAGCCAGCAUUUCCUGCCAGGGGUCUUUCUGUUUUCUCUCUCAAACAGGAAGUUGGCCUGGGAAAGGCUGAAAGUGCUGCCCUUUGACCCCCAGGAGCUAGGCGCCAGGCCCUCCCUGACAGCAACCCUGAGAGCCACUUCCCCAGGACUUGCCAUUCCCAGACACAGAGCAGACCCUGUCCUGGCUCCCCCAGACUCCCUGGCACCUCUGGAUGACCACCCGGAGCAUAUGUACUGAGCUACAGCGGUGUCACACAUGUGGCCUCGUCUCAUCAAUCGUUCCCCAUAUAGGGGCCACCGUCACUGUCCUAUUUUAUGCUCCAUCCAGAGGCUCAGAAGAGGCGACCCUAGAUGGGUCUUCUGCUGGUCAGCAAAGGUCCCCACCUGGAGGAAGCACUCAGCCCAGGUACUGGAUGCCACAGCAGCCAGGCAGCAGUGCCAGGGGCUCUCCUGGGCCUGGAGUACCCAGACAAGCUGCAGAACCAGCAGGACGAGACACUGCCCCACCUGCCUGCUCCCUCCUCUCCCUGCAGCUGAGGUAGGGAAUCUGUCCUUGCUCUGCACCCAAGGCCCUUUCACUCGGCCUGACUCCCCAGGGCACCCCACCCAUGCACACCAUGCCCAGGAGUAAGCCAUCCAUACUCUAAUCCCACCCCACCCCUCCACACUCACACACCCCCUCCCCAGCUUCAGACCCAGCCUGCUUCUCCAUUGGUUGUGUGUCUUUUGUAAAUUCCUGGCCCUCUCCGGGCUUUAGUUUCCCUCUGUAAAAUGGGCGCUACAGCAAAUGGGUUGACCAAACCUACAUCCAAUAACUUACCUCACAUUAAGAUACCUCACAUUAAAAUAAAAG